AUAAUAAUAUCCUUAAAAAAAUAUUACAUUACUGAUUAUUGUUUGUCUUCUACUGAGUGAGAGAAAUUAAAUGAGGGAGAUUGCCGCUUAUUGACGAAAUGACAUGAAUCCGCCGGCUUCGACGCCCCAUGAUCAUCAUGUCCCACGUGGCAUCGAUCACCUAUAUUCAAUGAAUGCACUAUUGAGUAAAACAAUCAACCCCCACGACUCAUGGGCCUCUCUAAUCUCCAUUUUUUAAAUGAAAUUAUAUAUAUAUAUAUAUAUUAAAAGACAAGAAAUGUGCUGCGGCGAAUUGAAACAUUGACAUUGAAAAGAAAGAAAAAUUAUACGUUUUUGAAAAGUUUAAAAUUUAAUUAAUGAAAAUUUGAAUAACAAAAUGAGGGUUUCUGCACUCAUUUAUAUUAAAUCUAAACAUUAUAAAUUUAUUAAAAUAGACAAUUUCGAAAUAUCAUUAUACAAUUAAAUUCUCCUAACUGAAAUAAAAAUAAAAUAAACAACAUUUACAUGUAAUAUGUAGAAAAAAAAAGAGAAAAAAUCUGAAAAUAAUAAAAAAAUUCCUAAAAUUACAAAAACGAUUAUAGGAAAAGAAAAUUUUCGAUCGAACCACAAGAUUCAUACUACAUAGCGUAUUGGAUUAAAUUCAUCUUGUCAAGAAUUUCAAAAUAAUAUAUUUAUACACUCACUACAACUCAGGUUAUCACCUAAAGAAACAUCAUACUCAUCCUACACAUUUAUCGUUUAAUAUUCUGGAGAAGAGUCGUACCAGUGGGAUUAUUAUAUAUGACGAUUCUCCUAAUUUACACGUGAGAAAAUCAGUUUUGUAGGACUAUCCCACUUAGCCAUCUAGAAUAAUCCUUCUAGAACCAUUUUUUUUUUUUUUUUGUAAUCUUCCAUGUCUCCAUCACGUCUGGGACCGUAUGGCGGUAUUCUUGAGUGGGGUAAUUUUUAAAAACCUCCCCUG
rnacentral:lncRNA from 1 species